AUGCAAUAUUGCUUCACAGGCUAUCGCACAAAAGUCUUGCAAAGACUACAAGAAAUUGUCGAGAACCAGCAAGACAUUCUGGCCAUGCAGAGGCAGUUACUGGCUGCAGUAGCUGUGACCGCGACACAGGAAGAUGGGGAAUUCCUGGAAAAUGGGCCAUGCCAAACAGUGGAGGAUCUGCAGACCCUUGACAGGGAUUUGGAAAAUAAAGAAAAAAGGGCCAAGAUGACGAAUUACCUUCGGUCCCUUGGAGGAGCAAACCCAGGUGCAACCUUGCGCAAAAUAUUGCGCAAGGUUGCAUCAAAUGAAGUCUUGGGUGCCUACAGCCUUAAAGGGAAAAAAGGCAAACUACCCUUCCAAAACCUGAAAAUAUGCAGCGUGAUCAUAGGGGCAAUGCAGAAGGCGUACAAGUCUCUAAAGGCCAGUGAGAUCGAAGACCUCAUUUCAAUGGUCCUAAAAUUUGCCCCACACAGGCAUUUAAAAUGCUGAUGGUGAAGUGAAGAUGUUGGAGAAGUUUCACAGUUUUAUGUUUACCGUACACAUUUUCACAGUUUUGUUCACCACACACAUUUUCAUACUUAUAAAUUUAGUUUGAUGUUGUUUAAAAUAAAAUGUUCAUAUCCCAUUUCAGAGAUUGAGAUUGUUUCUUUAAAUGCAAGUCAUAUAUUUUUUUUCAUUUAAUUCAUGGUUCAUAAGAUUAUGUACAAUAAGAACAAUAUUGUUGUACAACAAUACAAUAUGUAUACAAUAAACUAUGUAGAAGUAUUGGCUUGUUGACUGAUUAUUAAUGUACAGACAUCAGAAUGUUGAGGUUAGGAGAACGUUCUGGGAACAUUCUUAAGGUUAGGGGAACAUUCUGAAAAUGUUCUCGUAAAGUUUCUGAAACGUGCUUAGGUUAGGUGAACGUUCUGGGAACUUUAUGGGAACGUUGCGGGAACGUUCCCCUAACCUUAAGGGAACGUUUUCAGAACGUUCCCAGAACGUUGCGGGAACGUUCCGAGUAGGUUCCCGGAACGUUCCCCUAACCUUAAGGGAACGUUCUAUUUACGUUAAGAAAACUUUCCUGGAUAACCAAUAGGGAACGUUCUUGGGAACGUUCUGGGAACGUUCUGGGAACCAAAAACUAACGUUCUUAGAACGUUCCGAGAACGUAAAAUUGUUAGCUGGG
ensembl:lncRNA